rnacentral:rRNA from 1 species
CCUUAUUGCCAGUUACUACGCAAGAGGACUCUGGCGAGACUGCCGUUGACAAAACGGAGGAAGGUGGGGAUGACGUCAAAUCAUCAUGCCCUUUAUGUCCUGGGCUACACACGUACUACAAUGGCCGUAACAGAGAGAAACGAAACAGCGAUGUGGAGUAAAACUUAAAAAAGCGGUCUCAGUUCGGAUUGAAGGCUGAAAUUCGCCUACAUGAAGUUGGAAUUGCUAGUAAUGGCAGGUCAGCAUACUGCCGUGAAUACGUUCCCGGGCCUUGUACACACCGCCCGUCACACCAUGAGAGUUGGAGAUACCCGAAGCCUGUGAGCUAACUUUUAGAGGCAGCAGUCGAAGGUAGAGCCAAUGAUU